CAGCGGCCGAGGGCUUCGGGCGGCCGGCGGAGUGCUGCGUGCACAGCCGGGACCUGCGCUUCGGCCUGCCCCGUGCUAUGCGGUGUGGGGCGCUUGCGAGGCGGGCGGAUGCUCGCUGACAGGGCCGAGGGACGGGCGGAAGGGAAGGAGUUGCUAGCCCUGGCCUGCGGGAGGGCCCGUGACAAGUCCAGCGUUAGGCGCGGCCUUUGCGACCCCGGCAGGGAUCCUGGGCAAAGGCCGAGCUUCCCGCGCUUAAGAGCCCACCUCGGCGCGUUUCCUGGCGGGAGCCUGGGGGUCAGACGCCCGCGGCUUCCGGGCGCUUGUCGCCCUUGACCCCAUAUCCCUGUCACCCGGGAGAGCUCUGGAAACCACAGGUGCCUCGGGCCCACCCCCAGAGGUGCGGUUCACGGCAGUCUUGCUGCUGUGGGUCUGGCUCCCAGACGUUGGCGAGUGUGAGGAUUACCUGUGUCUGGUUAAAAAUCAGUGUGUUCAGUGCCCCCCCCCACUCCCUCCAUGCCUCGCGGGGUGGUCUGUGGGCGAGGGAAGAGCAAGAACGGGCUUUGUCCUCAGUCCCUCCACAGUGGUUGUGAUACAGCUAGGAGUUGGUACCGAAAAGUGAGUGUGCCUAGUUUGUGUUUGUCAGAAAUUAGGCAGCUGGUGGGGACCGCAUCAACUGUUCGACACACGGGGGAUCGCUUUCUGUAUCCCUUCCCAAAAGAGCCCCAGUUAUCUUCGCAGUUGAAAGAUGAGUUUAUGUUUUUAAAUACAUUUUUUUAGGUCCGCUUCAGUUUUGCUGAGUGUAGACAUUGCAUAAACUUGCAGUUAGGUUUUUUUAGAUUCUGUGGAGUUUUAGAGGAAAUCGUGGGAUUCAGCUGCCUCUAUCCAAUCUAAGAAUACAUUUUCCAUUUUUGAAAGUUCUCCUUUUUUCAGCUGUCGACAGUUGGAUGCGUUCGUUUUAAUAUUGGUUCUGCAAAUACAGCAUGAAAUUGCUUUUCCCAUGGUAUUUAUUUUUAAAAAACCCAAGUUGCUAAAAGGUAUUCCAUUCCAAUCCAGAAAGUUUAAGUAAAUAUAGUAAAUAAAUUGGACAUACGAAAUUUUAGGCUUAAUCUUGUUUGUAUCUAAUCUUGUGACUUUUAUUUGCAUGGUUGAGACUGGAUAAUGGAAUUUAUUUAUUUAUUUAUUUGAAAGGCAGGGUGAUGGAGAGAGGGAGAGAAAGAUCUCUUUCAUCUAGUCCUUCACGCUCCAGAUGCUUGCAACAUCCAGGCCUGGCACUCCAUCUGAGUGGUAUGAACCCAAGUACUUGGGUCAUCAUCUGCUGCCUCCCAGGCUCAUUAGCAUGAAGCUGGAUCAGAAGCAGAGAACCAUAGGAGAGCUGGAGAAACAAAAUAUGGAUCCAGCUUAGAAAAAUUCCUGUCAUACUGCAAGUACAGGCCACCGAGGAAGCCACUGCCCACCUGAACAAAAAUUGCUUGCCAAUUCAGAAACUACAGUUACAGGCUCCAGAACUAUACCUGAGAUGCAGGAUGUUACUUGAGGUUGUAGUGUGGUAGAACAAGGGAGGUAUCCGAGAAACUGGAGCAGAUUGGAUCUUACAAACAGUAAAACCAAUUCAGAAAAGCAAUGAAGAUUUGUGUGAACUUCAGAAGUAAAAUGUCCUACACCAAGCUGAUACGUAGAUCAAGUGAUCCCAAAGAACAAUGCAAACACUGUCUAUACCAGAGCCCAAGAAGGACAUGCACAGACACACUGUGAGUCAAGUGCACGGCCUAGCCCUAUACCCAGACUACAUAAAUCUACAUAACACUUUUAGUUUACAGUCAGUCAAGAAACUAAGAAUUCCAGAACGACAAACAUGACAAAACAAACAAAAAGGGGAGGAAAUGAUCGAAGUAGUACUUCAAAAAACUUUUCUAGGAGUGAAGGACGGGAGUAUCCACAUUUAAAGAAAUCACAAACUAAAAAAGGCCUGUGUUAAAGCACAUCCUGAAAAGAGCUCUCUGCUGUGGCCUGGGAGGGCAGUGGAAGAUGGCUCAGGACCUUGGACCCCUGCGUGGGAGACCUGGAAGAAGCUCCUGACUCCUGGCUUCAGAUCGUUGCAGCUAUCAGGGGAGUGAACCAGCGGAUGGAAGACCUCUCUCUGCCUCUCCUUCUCUGUGUAACUCUGACUUUCAAAUAAAUGGAUAAAUCUUUUAAAAAUAAUAAGAUUAUAUAAUUUUAAUAACCCUAAAAGAUAUAUAACUUGCAUAAUUCAGAAAUUAUAUUUAUAGAUAUUUGAUAGAUCUAAUGAAAUGCAUGAAAAAUUAGAGUUGUUUUAAAAAUCUGUUAUGAUAAUUGUUAUUAAUUUCUUGAAAAAAUAUUUCCUAUAUACAAGAAAGAAAAUAGAAUUCCUCUAAUCAUGUAUGGUGUUAAAAUGUGUAGAAUUUUUCAGGGCAUCUAAAAUACUAAUAUAAAUCUCUAGGGAAAAGCACAGAACUGUAUAGUUUAUUUGUCUUUUCAGUUAGAUUGCUUUUAAGUUUACUUUAAAAAAUAUAUACACCAAGUUUGAAAUUUAAAACUAUAAAUUCAUAUAAUCCAAUGCAAUACUGGGCAGAGGACUUAGAUACUUCACAAAGGAGAGGAUCUAAAAGGCAAAGGAGAAAAGGUGACAUUAAUUCUCAAGGAUUUACACAUUAAAUCCACCAGGCAACACGAUUGUCCAAAUACUAAUGACAGAAUAUUCCCAGUAUGGGUGAGGAUUUGGAGCAGGUAGAACUCUCAUACAUUACUAAUGGGCAAUGCCAAUGGGUCCGACUGAUUUUGCAAACUGUGUGGCAGUAUCUGUUAAAAUUGCAGACACACAGACUGUGUGACCCAGCAGUUCCUCAAUUAGGUAUGUGGACAUGUUGUGCACAUUCUAGAAUGUUUAUAGCAGUGCUAGUUUUAAUAGUCUUAAAGUAGAAAUUACGCAAGUGUCUACAAAUAAUGGAUUCAGUUGUGGCACAUUUAUGCAACAGAAUACUAAAUAACAAUGCAACUGAACCAUGUACAAGAUUGAUGAAGUACACAAAUACAAUGUUGGAUGCAGAAGGCCAAAUACAGAAGAUUGUGUACUGUUUGAGUUCAUUUACAUUAAGUACAAAAAUAGACUUUCGGAAAUUAGGAUUGUGGCUUUUGUAGGGAGGAAGUGGUGACUAGGAGGAAUUUGGAGAGGUUUCUGGGUUGAAAUAAUGUUCUG